UACGAAGGGGGCUAGCGUUGCUCGGAAUUACUGGGCGUAAAGAGCGUGUAGGCGGCUAGGUAGGUCCGUUGUGAAAACUCGAGGCUCAACCUCGAGACGUCGAUGGAAACCAUCUAGCUAGAGUCCGGAAGAGGAGAGUGGAAUUCCUGGUGUAGCGGUGAAAUGCGCAGAUAUCAGGAAGAACACCCGUGGCGAAGGCGGCUCUCUGGUACGUGACUGACGCUGAGACGCGAAAGCGUGGGGAGCGAACAGG
rnacentral:rRNA from 1 species